rnacentral:rRNA from 1 species
UGACCUCAAAUCAGGUAGGACCACCCGCUGAACUUAAGCAUAUCAAUAAGCGGAGGAAAAGAAACUAACAAGGAUUCCCCUAGUAACUGCGAGUGAAGAGGGAAAAGCUCAAAUUUGUAAUCUGGCGGUCUUUGACUGUCCGAGUUGUAAUCUAGAGAAGUGUUACCUGCGCUGGACCAUGUACAAGUCUCCUGGAAUGGAGCAUCAUAGAGGGUGAGAAUCCCGUCUUUGACAUGGACUUCCAGAGCUUAUAGGUGUGCUCUCAAAGAGUCGAGUUGUUUGGGAAUGCAGCUCAAAAUGGGUGGUAAAUGCCAUCUAAAGCUAAAUAUUGGCGAGAGACCGAUAGCGAACAAGUACCGUGAGGGAAAGAUGAAAAGAACUUUGGAAAGAGAGUUAAACAGUACGUGAAAUUGCUGAAAGGGAAACGCUUGAAGUCAGUCGCAUCAGUUGGAAAUCAACCUUGCUUUUGCUGGGCGUACUUUCUGUCUGAUGGGUCAGCAUCAAUUUUGAUUGCUGGAUAAAGUUCUUGGGAAUGUGGCAUCUUUGGAUGUGUUAUAGCCUUUGGACAUAUACAGUGGUUGGGAUUGAGGAACUCAGCACGCCGAAAGGCUGGGCUUGUCUACACUACGUGCUAGGAU